rnacentral:rRNA from 1 species
UACAGAGGAGCCAAGCGUUGUCCGGAUUGACUGGGCGUAAAGCGCACGCAGGCGGAUGCGCGCGUGGGGUGUGAAAUCUGGCCGCUUAACGGCCAGGCGCCAUCCCAUACGGCGCGUCUGGAGUGAUGCAGAGGUCGAUGGAAUUGCCGGUGUAGUGGUGAAAUGCGUAGAGAUCGAGAGGAACACCUGCGGCGAAGGCGGGUUGCUGGGCUGACACUGACGCUGAUGCGCGAAAGCUAGGGGAGCGAACGGG